rnacentral:rRNA from 1 species
AGCAGCCGCGGUAAUUCCAGCUCCAAUAGCGUAUAUUAAAGUUGUUGCAGUUAAAAAGCUCGUAGUUGAAUUUCGGGGUUAGUAAGUUGGUCAUGCCUUUGGUAUGCACUGGCUUUACUGAUUCCUCCUUCUUGACGAACCGUGAUGUCAUUAAUUUGGUGUUGCGGGAAAUCAGGACUGUUACUUUGAAAAAUUAGAGUGUUUAAAGCAGGCUAACGCUUGAAUACAUUAGCAUGGAAUAAUGAAAUAGGACGUUAAUCCUAUUUUGUUGGUUUCUAGGAUCGACGUAAUGAUUAAUAGGGAUAGUUGGGGGCAUUAGUAUUCAAUUGUCAGAGGUGAAAUUCUUGGAUUUAUUGAAGACUAACUACUGCGAAAGCAUUUGCCAAGGAUGUUUUCAUUAAUCAAGAACGAAAGUUAGGGGAUCGAAGACGAUCAGAUACCGUCGUAGUC